GAGUUUGAUCAUGGCUCAGGACGAACGCUGGCGGCGUGCCUAAUACAUGCAAGUCGAACGAACCGAAACUUGAACUUGUUCAGGUUAAGGUUAGUGGCGCACGGGUGAGUAACACGUGGGGAACCUGCCCUUUAGUGGGGGAUAACAGUCGGAAACGACUGCUAAUACCGCAUAGGCAAUUUAACCGCCUGGUUAAGUUGGGAAAGGUGCUACGGCAUCAUUAAAGGAUGGCCCCGCGGUGCAUUAGCUAGUUGGUAAGGUAACGGCUUACCAAGGCGAUGAUGCAUAGCCGACCUGAGAGGGUGAUCGGCCACAUUGGGACUGAGACACGGCCCAAACUCCUACGGGAGGCAGCAGUAGGGAAUCUUCCGCAAUGGACGCAAGUCUGACGGAGCAACGCCGCGUGUGUGAAGAAGGUUUUCGGAUCGUAAAGCACUGUUGUUAGAGAAGAACGGCUACUAGAGGAAAUGUUAGUAGAUUGACGGUAUCUAACCAGAAAGCCACGGCUAACUACGUGCCAGCAGCCGCGGUAC
rnacentral:rRNA from 1 species